UACGGAGGAUGCGAGCGUUAUCCGGAUUUAUUGGGUUUAAAGGGUGCGUAGGCGGAAUAUCAAGUCAGCGGUAAGAAUUCGGGGCUCAACCCCGUCGUGCCGUUGAAACUGAUGUUCUUGAGUGGGCGAGAAGUAUGCGGAAUGCGUGGUGUAGCGGUGAAAUGCAUAGAUAUCACGCAGAACUCCGAUUGCGAAGGCAGCAUACCGGCGCCCAACUGACGCUGAAGCACGAAAGCGUGGGUAUCGAACAGG
rnacentral:rRNA from 1 species